rnacentral:tRNA from 1 species
GGAUUAUAGCUCAGCUGGUUAGAGCGCACGCCUGAUAAGCGUGAGGUCGAUGGUUCGAGUCCAUUUAAUCCC